GGGUGCGAUGAUACCAACGUUAAUGCACCGGAUCCCCUCAGAACUCCGCAGUUAAGCGUUCUUGGGCUAGAGUAGUACUGGGAUGGGUGACCUACCGGGAGGUCCUGGUGUUGCACCCU
rnacentral:rRNA from 1 species